GAUCCGUUAGCUCAGUUGGGAGAGCGCUACCUUGACAGGGUAGAGGUCACUGGUUCGAGCCCAGUACGGGUCACCA
rnacentral:tRNA from 2 species